rnacentral:lncRNA from 1 species
AAGUCACGACAGCAGCAAAGCUGUGACUUGGUACUUGGCUAAAGGAAAAAGGACCCUGUUCUAGAGCCAUUGACCUUGUGUCACCUUCACUUGGCCUGAGCUGAGAGUGAACCUGACUUUACCUCUACAGCACCUUUGGUAGGGCUCGCCCUCGCCUGACAUGGUAGGCAGUUCUGCAGGAGGAAGGCAGCAGCAACACACAGUAAUGGGCUGCAGAGGAAGCAGCUCCCAAGUGCAGAGACAGACCCUGUGCUACUGUGUGAGACCUGACAAGGCACUCUGGAAACACAUGGUCAGUGUUCUCUUCAUAAUUUUGAAUCAUAAACUUCUCACUGCAGACAUUUAAAAUGACAGCAACACAUUUUAAUUUAGAACUUUAAUUUUUAGAACUCAGUUUUGGAGAUAAGC